UUAUGAAUGCUUAAAUUAUAUUAAGAAUAUAAAAAAAUAAUAAUUAAAAAUAGUUGAAAAAAAAUUAUUUGAACUUAGACUCAAUGGCCCAAAGGAAAAAAAAAGUGAGAAUUGAAUCUGAUUUUUUAAUAGGUCCAAAUGGCCCAAGAGAGAUUUGAUGUGGGCUGGAUCCAAAAAUAAUGACCCAAUAUAGAUGUGUUAUUAAUAUUACUUAAUUGCUCUUAAUGAAAUAUGCAAAGUUAGUAAAGGAAAUGACAAGGUAAGGUAAUUAUGACAAUAGAAUCCUGCUUUAAUAGUAUAGAUGUAUACACUUUGACGGUCUAAAUAAAUAUAUACUCCUAAAUACACAAACACAUAUUAAGAAAACAAAGACAGGCGAAAACAAAGUUGACAAUCAAAUGAUAUUUAAAUAGGAACUGCUUAACAGCUAAAGGUUGUACACACCUUGAAGGCUUAAAUGUGUGCACGUUUUAGUUAGUGGCCAGCAUUUAAUACUAUUCAUCGUUAUCAUUAUCCAUCAAACCUAAUAAAAAGUCAAAAGGAUUUUCAGUAUAAAUAGAACCUAGUAUUCACAUGUAAAUUUGUGCAGACAAGAAUAAAACAAGUCAACUUCAAAGUAGCAGAAGUAAGAAAAGAGAAAGAGACAAAAUGGCGAAGAGUUUGUGCAUCGUUACUCUUUUGAUGAUUUUUCUAUUGAUCUCCACAGGGAUACCGAAAGGAGAAGCUCAAUGUAUGGGAGAACGAAGCUUCACAUCACCCCCAGGGAUCUGCAGUCAACAGAUUGGAAGCACUGUUUGCAACAAUGCUUGCAUUACUGAAGAAUAUUUCCGCGGCCAAUGUGAAACUCAAGGCGCAAGAACAAUUUGUAAUUGUUACGAUUGCCCACCUAAUUAAACCUACGGCUUGUGCUGCUUGGAGAAAAAAAUCUGAUCGAUCAGUUGUUGAACUUAUAUUGAUCUUUGUGUUUGAAUUUCUCUAUGUGUGUGUGUGUGUUUUAAUGUUUUGUUGUAUGGUUUGGAAUAAUCGGUUAUAUAGCCGUUCGUUUUGCUUAUUUGUUGUUAAAACUGUGGACUAUUGAGUUGGUUUGAAAAAUUAUAUUACAUUUGUUUUAAAUAUUUACUCACAAAAUCACAAAAUCAGUAAACAAACAUAAGUAAUCAAUCAAAUCCCAUUCAACAAGUCAACUGAUUUUUAGAACAGAGAUUCAAACAGUUAAAAUAGUAUUGUUGAGGUAAGUUCUAGAGCACAUGGGUUUAGAUUCGAAAACCAUCGUACGGAAACGUAAAAAUUGGUCCCCGUAGUAAAAACGACAAUAAAGAUGCAAAAGUACGAUUAAAAGUGUCAACCUUCAACUAGUCACGGGGCCAAAUGAAAUCUACGUGUUUGUUUGUUUUUGAAAUAUGAAUAUUUGAAACGAUAGGGGGUGCUUUGGUGGCGCUUCUCUGGAGGGGAUGCCCUCUUCCUGUUUCGGUGCUCUAUAUGGAUGCUUGGUUAAAUAGGUGUAUACGGUUCCGGGUUGGAAGGUUGGAGGCAGUAAUUUUCAAUCUUCUUUCUCCGAACGACAGCAUAGCCGGUUGUUGUUUCCUCCUCGUGCUGCCGGUUGGUUCCUCUUGGGUGGGCAAGCGAGUUCGAGAUGUGAUUCUUUGUGGGGGUUGUGGCAUGUGGGUCGAUCAGAAGCCGUAUGAACCGUGUGUUUCAAGGUGUGAGGGUGCCUUUCUCUCCGAUAACUCGCGGCAACUGGUUUUCUCACUACGUCUACGCCUUCUUCUCUGAUCCAUCCUUGCUUCAGUGUUGUCCGGUUCUAAUCCCUCUCUCUUGUUCUUUCCUAUGUUUCUAUAAUCGCUUUAGAUUCUUCUGUUUAGAUUUAAUUAUGCAAUUCUGCUACUUAUGUACUGUGUAAACUCUGUCUCAAACUGAAAAUCGGUAAUAAUACUUAACAUUUUUACCAAAAAAAAAUAUUUGAAACGAUGAGUUUUAUUUCCUUACACUAUACAUACAAUAUUUUUCAUACAAAUAAUUUCCUUACACAUUCUUAAAAAGAUGAGUUUUAUUUUUAUUUUGAUUUAAUGAUUUCAAUUUUUGAGCCUGAUUGGAUACCCAAAUGCUUGAAUACUUGGUUACCAAGCCUACCAUUGAUCCCUUCCUAAUUUCACUGCAAAAAAAAAAAAAAAAAUAUAUGGAAAGAAACUAAUCCUACUAACCAGUUUUUUGACUGAAAGAGCUACAUUAGUUACAAAAUUAGAUCAGCAUAAAUCACAAUCCAUACCAACAAUCCAUAUUAACUUAAGAUGGUAUAGUGAAACAUAAACCAACAUAAUAUUCGUUGUAUAACCUGAAAAAUUCAUCUAAGAAAAAAAAAACC